rnacentral:lncRNA from 1 species
AAGCACAAAGGUUGACACACAGGGACUUUCCAAUUAUCCAGCAAUGGUACUGUUCCUUUACCUUCUCUUCGAUUUUGAGAAAAGUAGUCAUCAUGUUGGGAGUCUGGCUCUCGAGAUUCGGAGGAAGGUGCCUCUUCGAUUUUGGAGCAAGCAAUCUUGUUGGGACUGUUUUCUCGAAUGUGAGUAAAGGUUGGGCAUGUUUGCUAGUCUACCUUGCCACGAAGCACAGAGGUUGACACACAGGGACUUUCCAAUUAUCCAGCAGUGGUACUGUUCCUUUACCCUUGUGGGUAAUAAUAUGGUAGCUAGACCUUCAAAAUUUAUGUGUCUAAACUUUGUUAGUGCUGUUUCUUUGCUAUUCUUUUACCUUUCUUGGUCAGAGCGAUGUAGUGGGAGCUGCAAGCUUCACGUGCUCAACUUUGGCAGAGAACUUUGGCAAAGUGAUCUGUGGUACCCAUGAGUUAUUGUUGCGUGUGGGAAGUGGGUGAUUGAACAGUAAGAUUCAUGUGCUUUCUACUUCACCAGAAGUCUUCGACAGAAUGCCCAUAAUUUCUGCAAAGCUGAGUGUGCGUGUGACAGGUGCUGACAAGGCUAGAAAAGUAGGUGCCUCUUCGAUUUCUGAGAUCGGCCCUCGUGGUCUCUGAGCAGCCCAGCUUUUGAGAAAGCGAGCGCCUCUUCGAUUGAUUCGGAGAACGGUGCCUCACCGAUUUUUUAGAAAGCAAUCAUGCUGGGGGUCUGGCUCUCGAGAUUCGGGGAGCAGUGUCUCUUCGAUUUUUGAGAAAGUAAUCAUGUUGGGAGAAUGGCUCUCGAGAUUCGGAGGGCGGUGCCUCUUCGAUUUUGGAGCAAGCAAUCUUGUUGGGAGUGUUUUUCUCGAAUGUGAGUAAAGGUUGGGCAUGUUUGCUAGUCUACCUUGCCACGAAGCACAGAGGUUGACACACAGGGACUUUCCAAUUAUCCAGCAAUGGUACUGUUCCUUUACCCUCUCUUCGAUUUUUAAGAAAGUAGUCAUGUUGGGAGUCUGGCUCUUUAGAUUCGGAGGACGGUGCCUCUUCGAUUUUGGUGCAAGCAAUCUUAUUGGGAGUGUUUUCUCGAAUGUGAGUAAAGGUUGGGCAUGUUUGCUAGUCUACCUUGCCACGAAGCACAGAGGUUGACAUACAUGGACUUUCCAAUUAUCCAGCAGUGGUACUGUUCCUUUACCCUUGUGGGUAAUAAUAUGGUAGCUAGACCUUCAAAAUUUAUGGGUCUAAACUUUGUUAGUGCUGUUUCUUUGCUAUUCUUUUACCCUUCUUGGUCAGAGCGAUGUAGUGGGAGCUGCAAGCUUCACGUGCUCAACUUUGGCAGAGAACUU